GCCUGAUACCGUCCUCUUUGCUCUGCCCUGCACAAUCCAUCUUUAGCCACAGCUCAUCCUUAAAGAAGCAAAUGGAAAACAGAUUGGACUUGAAGGGGUGGCAGGUAUGCUCAUGCAGGUGACCAUAUUUACAACCAGAUAAAAUAAACAACUGAUUGUCAACUCAUUAGGAGGAUUAAAAAUCUGCAGAGAAUUACCUGUAAAGUCCCUGGAUAAAAUCUUGUGAAAAUCCUUGGAGGAUGCAAUUGGACUCAAAACAAUAAGAGAGAUGAAAAUAGUUCUGUGAUAGAAGCAAAUCUGCCAAAACCAGUUCAGUGUUUUCAGUAAAGUAUUCCCGCACGCUCACCCACCUUCUUCUCAUCCUAGCCAGAGUGGUUUUUCAGAAAUUAAUAUCAAAUUAAAGCAGAACUACUCUUCCUACCAUUGUUGACCCUACUCCACACUCUACCCAGAUGAUGAAGAUCAGGGAUGUUGCCGGCUUUUAUUUUGUAUCACCCAUGUAUAGAAGUAUACCUGUGCACAGUAGAAUCCCAAAUAUAUUUUAAAUGAAAUUGUUGAAUGGAGACCAAAAUUUAAGAAGGCAGAAUUGGACAUGGCCAUCGCCUCGAGCUAAUGGAAGUCUUCAUGUUAUAACUCAUGAUUGUGAUGGAAACAGAUGUUCUUUUAACUCAAUAACACUAUGUUGGAGGACGUGCAUCAUUCUGAAGACGUGACCGUCAGUUGACCUAUGAGCUGGACCCAGGCAAUCAGAGGCUGCUUACUCCCUCCCCUGUCCUUGAAAUGUAUGUUCUGCCCACCAUUCCCAUAGUGGGAGCCAUUUACAAGGACAUAGGCUUGAGAAAGCAAUGUGUUGUUGAAACCACCUGGACAGGAUCCUUGACUCAACCCAGUUAAGGCCUCUACAUAAACUUUUAAGAUUCUGGUGGGCAGGUACAGAGACCUACUCAUCUUGCAACCGCCAAACCCAAGCCUCACAUGUAAGUUCCCUUGGUUAUUAAACCUGCCACCUGCCAAUCCGGAGUGUCUUGCCUCUUUCUUGGUUUCUCCUUACCCUCCG
rnacentral:lncRNA from 1 species